rnacentral:lncRNA from 1 species
GAGAUCUGGGCCGCUAACGCAGGCUGGACUCACGAACCCCUUCCGACCUGGUGCGGAAGACACGGAACUGAUGAGGGACAAAGAUCCUGGCUUAAUUUCGAGGGAUGCCUCCCGACAGUUUACUGUCAUUAAAAAGCAAUGUUUGUGCAAAAACAACUUGCAGACAUGAACCGUCGUCUGCAGCUCCUGCGGAAUGACUGAUGAAGAAUCCUCCAACUGCGCCGUGACGUUGGCCUCUCGCUGCUCAAACAGUGGAAGCAUCUCUGAGGGUUUACUGCCCACCAGCAGCACGCCUCGCAGAAUGUGAUGGAUGCGGUGCGGGGCUGCUGCUAGAAGUCUGCUGGAGAUCAACACACCUGCCUAGAAUCAGUGCUGAUGACCUGCAGCAGGAUUUAAGCCCUGCUGUGACUCCUCAUCAGCGCCAUGUUCUCCGUUUAAACUCCAGCGCCCCCAGCCUGCCUCAACUCAUCCACAUCCAGCUACCUGGAAUUACUUCUCUGUGUACAAUAAAUAAAUCCAC